UACCAGCCCCGCGAGUGGUCAGGACGAUUACUGGGCCUAAAGCGCCCGUAGCCGGUCUAGCAAGUCCUCUCUGAAAGCUCCGGGCCUAACCCGGAGAGCGGAGAGGAUACUGCUAGGCUAGGGGGCGGGAAAGGCCGGGGGUACUCCUAGGGUAGGGGCGAAAUCCGAUAAUCCUAGGAGGACCACCAGUGGCGAAGGCGCCCGGCUGGAACGCGCCCGACGGUGAGGGGCGAAAGCUGGGGGAGCGAACCGG
rnacentral:rRNA from 1 species